GAGUUUGAUCCUGGCUCAGAACGAACGCUGGCGGCAUGCCUAACACAUGCAAGUCGAACGGGAUCCAGGCUUCGGCCUGGUGAGAGUGGCGGACGGGUGAGUAACGCGUGGGAACCUGCCCAAUGGUCUGGGAUAACCGCGGGAAACUGCGGCUAAUACCGGAUAAGCCCGAGAGGGGAAAGAUUUAUCGCCGAUGGAGGGGCCCGCGUCCGAUUAGGUGGUUGGUGAGGUAACGGCUCACCAAGCCGACGAUCGGUAGCUGGUCUGAGAGGAUGAUCAGCCACACUGGGACUGAGAUACGGCCCAGACUCCUACGGGAGGCAGCAGUGGGGAAUAUUGGACAAUGGGGGCAACCCUGAUCCAGCAAUGCCGCGUGAGUGAUGAAGGCCUUAGGGUUGUAAAGCUCUUUUGGCGGGGACGAUGAUGACGGUACCCGCAGAAUAAGCCCCGGCU
rnacentral:rRNA from 1 species